UCUCCGUUGGUGAACCAGCGGAGGGAUCAUUACAGGACUCGCAAGACUCCUUCACCCUGUGAACCUCACUACAAGCACGUUGCUUCGGCGGGUGUCCCGGCGGGGGUUUUCCCUCGCCGGGGCGCACAGCCCGCCGGCAGCCUACUAUACUCUGUCUCUUUGCGUUGGCAUCUCGAGAAAAAACAAACAAGUUAAAACUUUCAACAACGGAUCUCUUGGUUCUGGCAUCGGUGAAGAACGCAGC
rnacentral:misc_RNA from 1 species